ACUGCACUGCUUGGUUCGUUAGAUUCUAGACAUCCUGGGGCCAAUACCGAAAUCUAGGGGGCUAAUCCCUGACUGGACCGUGGUCCUAUUAUAUCGGCUCCCACCUGACUUGUCAGGCCACAGAGAUUUCAUACAAUCGACGGCUUGUGGUGGUGCAGUA
rnacentral:other from 1 species